UCCGAUUUGUCACAGGGCUUUCACCAGGAUGUCAAGUCCAGGUAAGGUUCUUCGCGUUGCUUCGAAUGAAACCACAUGCUCCACCGCUUGUGCGGGCCCCCGUCAAUUCCUUUGAGUUUCAGCCUUGCGGCCGUACUCCCCAGGCGGGGUGCUUAACGCGUUAGCUGCGACGCUGAAAGGGUCGCUCCCCCCAGCAUCUAGCACCCAUCGUUUACGGCGUGGACUAC
rnacentral:misc_RNA from 1 species